rnacentral:rRNA from 1 species
CGUCAAGUCCUCAUGGCCCUUAUGCCUAGGGCUGCACACGUCCUACAAUGCAACACACAAAGGGACGCAACCUCGCGAGAGCAAGCAAAUCCCAAAAAAUGUUGCCCAGUUCGGAUUGGAGUCUGCAAUUCGACUCCAUGAAGUCGGAAUCGCUAGUAAUCGCGGGUCAGAAUACCGCGGUGAAUGUGUUCCUGAGCCUU